rnacentral:rRNA from 1 species
CCUGGUCUUGACAUGUACGGAACCCUCCAGAGACGGAGGGGUGCCUUCGGGAGCCGUAACACAGGUGCUGCAUGGCUGUCGUCAGCUCGUGUCGUGAGAUGUUGGGUUAAGUCCCGCAACGAGCGCAACCCUUGUCAUUAGUUGCCAUCAUUAAGUUGGGCACUCUAAUGAGACUGCCGGUGACAAGCCGGAGGAAGGUGGGGAUGACGUCAAGUCCUCAUGGCCCUUAUGACCAGGGCUUCACACGUCAUACAAUGGUCGGUACAGAGGGUUGCCAAGCCGCGAGGUGCAGCUAAUCUCACAAAACCGAUCGUAGUCCGGAUCGCAGUCUGCAACUCGACUGCGUGAAGUCGGAAUCGCUAGUAAUCGCGAAUCAGAAUGUCGCGGUGAAUACGUUCCC